CAACGCCGCGUGGGGGAUGAAAGGCCUUCGGGUUGUAAACUCCUUUCAGUGGGAACGAAAUUGACGGUACCACAGAAGAAGCCCCGGCUAACUACGUGC
rnacentral:rRNA from 1 species